GCCGGGACUAGAGUUGUAUCCUGACAUGGCCCUUGUCCUGGUGUGUUAGGGUUCUUAGAGAGGAUCUACUGGUCUUGAUUCACUGAUAGAGGCAGUUGGUGGCCCUGUUAGUGCCCAGAUCAGAAACAUGC
ensembl:snoRNA